rnacentral:rRNA from 1 species
AGAACUUAGCAGAGAUGCUUUGGUGCCUUCGGGAACUCUGAGACAGGUGCUGCAUGGCUGUCGUCAGCUCGUGUUGUGAAAUGUUGGGUUAAGUCCCGCAACGAGCGCAACCCUUAUCCUUUGUUGCCAGCGGUUAGGCCGGGAACUCAAAGGAGACUGCCAGUGAUAAACUGGAGGAAGGUGGGGAUGACGUCAAGUCAUCAUGGCCCUUACGAGUAGGGCUACACACGUGCUACAAUGGCGCAUACAAAGAGAAGCGACCUCGCGAGAGCAAGCGGACCUCAUAAAGUGCGUCGUAGUCCGGAUUGGAGUCUGCAACUCGACUCCAUGAAGUCGGAAUCGCUAGUAAUCGUGGAUCAGAAUGCCACGGUGAAUACGUUCCCGGGCCUUGUACACACCGCCCGUCACACCAUGGGAGUGGGUUGCAAAAGAAGUAGGUAGCUUAACCUUCGGGAGGGCGCUCACCACUUUGUGAUUCAUGACUGGGGUGAAGUCGUAACAAGGUAAGCGUAGUGCU